UACGAAGGGGGGCUAGCGUUGUCCGGAAUUAUUGGGCGUAAAGCGCGCGCAGGCGGCCUUUUAAGUCUGAUGUGAAAGCCCACGGCUCAACCGUGGAAGGUCAUUGGAAACUGAAAGGCUUGAGUACAGAAGAGGAAAGCGGAAUUCCACGUGUAGCGGUGAAAUGCGUAGAGAUGUGGAGGAACACCAGUGGCGAAGGCGGCUUUCUGGUCUGUAACUGACGCUGAGGCGCGAAAGCGUGGGGAGCAAACAGG
rnacentral:rRNA from 1 species